UCUGGGGCGGGGCCCAGACUAGCUGGAGGCCUGCUGCUGCGGCCUGCUGCUUGCAGAAGAACAGGUCUUGAGAGGGAGGGAGGCUGUGUUUUCUGGGAGCGUGAGUUCGGGGCCUUGUGAUUACUGUCCUUUUUUGCGGAUUGGAAGGAGGAGUGGAUUUUGGAGAUGGGAAUGCUGCUUGGAGUGAAGCAUACUGGAAUUGUGGAUUGUGCUGAGUUGUAAGAGAAAGCUGGAGAUGGUGGUGGAUGUCUUGAUGGUGGAUGCGAAGGCAAGCCUCGGCGUCUUGGGGAACGGGAAGCGGUGCGGCUGGGCUGAUGGCCGCACGGUCUUGCUGGAGGUUCGGAUGUGGUGUCCUGUUGAGCACAGGUGCUGCUAACCUCGGGAUCCUGGGCAACGAGGGAAUCGUCGUCAGAUGGAUAAAGAUCAAUCUCGGACAUAGUAACAGAUGGGUGGGACCAAAUGCUGAAAAACUGUUGAGGAACAUAGGCAAGGCGCCGCCCGCUGUUCAGAGGGAGGAACAGAGAGAUGAGUCCUUGCUGUGAAGAGGUUAGACUGGCAGGACCUCAGAUGUGAAGAGAGCGGCUGGGAAGAGACUUGGCUAGAAGAGAAGUCGCCGACCUUAACUCAACCACACCUAGGACAAUCUGAAAUAUCCAGAACAUUCCCAGACAUCCAUAGUUAAUGAAUAUAACAGUGGCAUGCGGUCAGACCUUUCCAACCCUUCAGAGAAGAGAUGACAACGAUCUGGAAAGCAAAAAGACUGAAGAUUCAAAAGUUAUAUCUUUAUUUCACCCAUUCAAUAAAAAAAAUAUGCAUUUAAGAAAUAAAUAAAAUAUAAAGUGGCAAUAUACAGCUUAAAAUUACACUUAAGAUUAUCUAUUGUGUAAGAUGAUCUGUGAUGAUUGGCAAUAAGAACUGUACAUUAUGAAUGACUGUAUGUAAUGCAUGCACCUUCAAAAAAUAUUCUGAAGCGACUAGCGAAAUGACAGAAAAUAUCAUCAUUAAAGGGUUAGUUCACCC